UACGGAGGGUGCAAGCAUUAAUCGGAAUUAUUGGGCGUAAAGGGCGCGUAGGCGGAGAUGUAAGUCAGAUGUGAAAUCCCGGGGCUCAACCUCGGAACAGCAUUUGAAACUACAUCCCUUGAGGGUAGGCGGAGAAAACGGAAUUCCACAAGUAGCGGUGAAAUGCGUAGAUAUGUGGAAGAACACCGGUGGCGAAAGCGGUUUUCUAGCUUAUUCCUGACGCUGAGGCGCGAAAGCAAGGGGAUCAAACAGGAUUAGAAACCCGAGUAGU
rnacentral:rRNA from 1 species